UCGCUUCGGCAGCACUUAGACUAAAAUUGGAACAAUAUAGAGAAGAUUAGAAUGGCCCCUGCACAAGGAUGACACGCAAAUUUGUGAAGCGUUCCAUAUUUAA
ensembl:snRNA U6 U6 spliceosomal RNA